GAAAAACGAGGAAAAUAAAGAAGAAAUAUUAUUUCUCGGUCAUCAGUUUUUCUUUGAAAUUUCAGAUUCAAGUUGGCGCACCUUUGUUCUCAUACUACUCAUUUAUCGUAACCAAACUCAUAUGCAGAGUCCAACCAGUUCUGACAUGUUUGGAAGCUCUAGAAACGAUAAUCUCGAUACUGCGACGUAACUGAGAAAGAAUACGUAAAACUCCAAGGAAAAGAAGUAAGACGAGAAGUUGCGAGUCAAUCGUGGAUCAAACAAAAGUCUUCUCAAGUUUCGUUGGAAGGAGCAUUGGAUUAAGCGACUGAGGCAGACCAUAAAAGCUGAACGGGAUUUCACUGAAGGCUGGCUCCGCUGCUAGGUGAACAACUGCUGUCGGUUGAUUCGCUUCCGUGGUUGCUUAUAAAAUCGUUGGCCUCUUCUCUGCGCAGUGACAUGCACACAUACCUGUGUAGCGGCAUCGAAAGAGACUCCUAUAAUGUUGUCUGCGUGUUCCAACAAUUCGGGACGAAACGUGAUGGCGAUGAACUGAGACUUGUGAGAAAAUUUACCAACCAUGGCGGCCACGUUUGAGCGAUAACUUGCAUCUAGCGCCUAAAGGCCUCAUCAAGAAGAUAAAACGGUGCGCGAUCCAUCAUGAGGAUAGCAAAAAUGAAGGCCAUACUAACGACCGAUUUUUGACCACCCGAAAGACUCUUGAAAUCCCGAAUAUUGGUGGUACUGGAAAACGACACUUUGACAGCAACUCCAGUGACCCGAUCAACGUCAGGAAUCUGGAAAAGAAGAUUGAAAGAAGUUGUUCAGGUUCCCAUUUUACACAUCACCAAAACAAAAUCAAACAAAACAAAAAAGAAAAAAAAAAAAAAAAAAAGACAAAAACUUGCUUGCCUGGGGCUCGCCUUCGUUUUCACUGUCUGAGUCACUUUCUUGGCCGUCAUAAGUCCAUUUUAGAUGGCCUUUCCCCGGGCUAGGAACCAGCGUCUUAAACAUUUUGCGGAACAAUCUGGCCACUUGCAUAAGAGAGUACUGAAUAGCACUAUUUUUCUUGCUCUCGACAUUUUUAAUCAACUCAAUGCACUGACGAUGACUAUUGUUCAAACGAUCCAUUUGUUUGUUCAAAUCCUUCAACUUUUCUGCUGAGAAAGCGUAAUCCAAGGUAGCUUUCUGAUUGACUCCUUCAAAACUCUUAAGCUGUUCUUUAACCUGUUUUCAAAGUGAAGAUUAGCAUGUCUCCAAAAAUAAAUUACUUAUUUCUAUUUUCUUGCUCUAAAUACCAAGUUCCAAGGGUAAUCAGCGUUGAAAUGAUAACCCCCAGAGCAGCUUCUUUCCGCUUGAUGGAUUCUAUUAUCUUUUUUAUCUACGAAAUGGAAAACAACAUAUCAGCGUCAACUACCAAAUCCAACUAGAAAAAUACGCACAGCAUCAUGACGCUUGUCCAACUCUAUUUGUUGUUCGACUCGUCGAUUUUUGGUGGUGUCUAACUCGUUUUUGGUUUCGUCAACGGCCUUGGAUAAACUGACGAUUCUGUCUUCAGUAAUCUCACUUUCUUUACUGUUUUCCUUGAUCCUACAUUCAAGUUUCUUAAGAUGUUCCUCCAUGUCUUUUAUUGCUUGCUGGUGGACUUCGGCUCCAUACAGACCACAGUCGCUUUUUUCACGGAUGGUAUGUUCAAGAUCUUGUUUCGUUCUCAUAAGAUGGUCACUCAGUCGUGACUCUAGAGAAUUCUUCAUACCCUCAAGCUUCAAUCGUGUAGCAUUUACAUUUUUAAGCUUUAUUUUGUCGCUCUGAAUACUUUCAUUCAAUUGGUCAACCUCAGACCUUUCCUCCGAUCCAAGUUCUGUUUCAAAGUCCUAUUAGUACAACAUAAGUCAACUAAAAGUGUUUUUAUUUUUCCAUU
rnacentral:lncRNA from 1 species